CGUGAGAUGUCGGGUUAAGUCCCUUAACGAGCGAAACCCUUGUCCCUAGUUGCCAGCGAGUCAUGUCGGGGACUCUAGGGAGACUGCCGGUGUUAAACCGGAGGAAGGUGGGGAUGACGUCAAGUCCUCAUGGCCUUUAUGACCAGGGCUGCACACGUCCUACAAUGCGAUGCACAAAGGGACGCAAGCUCGCGAGAGUAAGCAAAUCCCAAAAAACAUCGCUCAGUUCAGAUUGCAGGCUGCAACUCGCCUGCA
rnacentral:rRNA from 1 species